GUAUGAGUAUGAGUGGUUUUGUGUGUGUGUGUGAGUAGUGUGUGUGUGAGUGGUGGUGUGUGUCUGUGUGUGGUCUAGAGUUUGUUUCAUCCCAGAGGCAACUAGAGGCCACUGGCAUUUAUUGGAAAAGGAAAUGAUGUAGUCAGAUCUGCACUGAUGGGCAAUCACUUUGGCAGCUCUGUGGAGGAUAGACUGGCAUCCCAGGGGUGUUCUGGGCAGCCAGGAACCUGUGUAUGGAUCCAGAUGCAUCCACUCACUCUGUUGUAAAGGUGAAGUAAAAACAGGGCCUUGACUCCAAUCUUUAGGGACAGAGUUCCUUCGUGCGCUACUUCCUUUCCAGGAUAGAAUCAAUAAGCUAUGAAAUGAUGAGAGCCUCUGGGCUGGGCUGGGCUGUAAUUCCAACGAUUCUUGACUCAGGUGAUAAAAAAGGUGAGGGCUUAGAAUUUUUGAGAGGAAUAUAUUGAGUCAGGUGACCUUGUGACAAACUGAGGAGAAUAAAUGGGGAGAGGCAGAGGAUCUGGAUAAUAUGCCCUCCUCCUACUGAUUUAAGGGCUCUCCUCUCCCUUUUUUUUUUUUAGUGUCCAACUCCUUCACACCUGUCCCAGAGCUCCCUGCAGGCAACCUCCAGCUUUAUCCUAGCCUAGGAAUCCUUGUCAUGUUGAAGGCUGGUCCAAUUAAGGGAAGGCAACAGAGGGUCUUUCUCCUACCUCAGAACCAGGCAUGUUGGAGAUGAAAAAGGAGCUGGGGAGAAUGAGGUUGUACCCUGGAGGCCGUUGCAGGUGGUGGUGAUGGUGGUGGUAGGGCCAGUAAAUGAAUUUCUGCUGCUGGCUCUUUAUUACACUUGUAUCUAAUACAGUGAAACCGCUCUUUCCUGCACAGAGAUUUGGGGGACACGUCUCUGGGAAGGAGUGGAAGAAGAGGAGGAGGAAGUCAGCACUGGGCUUCUGGAGUGCCUGCAGGCAUAAUGCCUAAGAACUGCCCCACCCCCUCCAAAAAAGCCAGAGGAUAAGAGAUGGGCCCUAAUCCAGUUCUGGAACCAUAAUCACGUCAGCUGCCACUGUGCCUGGGUGGGACAGGUCAACGUGCUUCCCUGUGGCCCCACACACUGUCCCAGUGAUUUUGUGGACCAAAGUGCCUCUCCCUGGCCACCACUCUGCUCUGUCUGGCCUCCUCCUAUUAGAAGGCCUCUGACUGCAAAGCAGCCAAAGUCCAAGCCAAUCUUGGGAUUUCCUCAGGAUCAUCUGGGCCAGCUGGCCUUCAGACAAGACUCUUCUCUCCCUUGGCCCCAGUGAACCUGCCCAGCUCCGACUGCCAGGCCAGGACUCAUUCCUCUUCUGACCAGCCCUACUCCUCAUAGACUUCUUCCUGGCCUUGAGCUUCUGUCUGCCCCCUGGACCUUCCUCGCAUGGCUCCUUGUUCAGUCCUAGGGGCCAACCCCGUCAUUUUCCUUAAGCCUUCUCUUGCCUGGGCCCAGCUCACUGUGCUGCUCUCUGUGAGCCAUUGCCUCUCAGCCCCAGGCUGUCCUCCCUCUCCCCUGUCCUGGACACUGUCCAGUUUAUCACUUGUCCUUUCUUCACUGCAGCUGCAGUGAGGGGACCAGAGUGGAAAGA